rnacentral:rRNA from 1 species
UACAGAGGUCUCAAGCGUUGUUCGGAUUCAUUGGGCGUAAAGGGUGCGUAGGCGGCGCGGUAAGUCGGGUGUGAAAUCUCGGAGCUUAACUCCGAAACUGCAUUCGAUACUGCCGUGCUUGAGGACUGGAGAGGAGACUGGAAUUUACGGUGUAGCGGUGAAAUGCGUAGAUAUCAGGAGGAACACCUGUGGCGAAGGCGGCCCUCUGGACGGAUACUGACGCUGAGACGCGAAAGCGUGGGGAGCAAACAGG